GACGUAGGAUGCAAGCGUUUGUCCGGAUUUAUUGGGCGUAAAGAGCUCGUAGGCGGCUCGUCGCGUCAGCUGUGAAAACCCGCAGCUUAACUGUGGGCUUGCAGCUGAUACGGGCGGGCUAGAGUUCGGUAGGGGAGACUGGAAUUCCUGGUGUAGCGGUGAAAUGCGCAGAUAUCAGGAGGAACACCGGUGGCGAAGGCGGGUCUCUGGGCCGAUACUGACGUGAGGAGCGAAAGCGUGGGGGAGCGAACAGG
rnacentral:rRNA from 1 species